ACUAUGCUGCUGUGGCUUUACUUGUGCUGCAGUAGGGAGUAUUGGACAAUGGGCCACUAAAUCAAUAGGCCAGACUCAGUGCCAGACACAGACAGGCUGAUGGCAGGGCUCACUGGAGCCAGUCAGCACAGAGGAAGACCCAGAGGAACCGUGUCCCCAGAGAUAUAACCCUUUGUGUCACAGAGAGCAAAUGACCCAGCUGCAUCACCCUGAAGGAGAAAGGCUUUGUCAUCUGGUGCAGACAACAGUGGUUCAGAGAAUGCUUCAGAGAUGGACCAGGUAGGCAAUGAUGAUGAUCCUGGUAGAUGGGGAGAACAUUCCUAUCCAUCAGGAACACAAUCCAGGGAUUUGAACCAGGACAAGAUGGGGGAGGAUUUAGGGAGAGCAGGGCCAGCUGAUCUAAAGAGAAGCAGCCUCCCCAGAACCCCCUUAAGAAUGCAGUAACAAUCUUUUCCCACUGCACCAAAUUGAUGACAAACUCCCUAUGGGCUAUUACAGAGUGUGCUCUUGGAGUGGAAACUAUGAAAAAGGGUUUCCAAACUGAUGACAAACUCCCUGUGGGCUAUUAUAGAGUAUGCUCUUGGAGUGGAAACUACCAAAAAGGGUUUGUUAAAGUCCUGACUGGAGCACACAGAUUGCAUCUUUAUUUCUUCACUCAGCUGGAUAGCAUCUUGCUGAUUGGACUCCUGCUGCAGAUUAAGACAUCUUAUUAUCACCUCACUACAUGAGAUCCUUGCAGAAAAGAAGCUUUCUGCCUCAUCUCACGUUUAUGCUAUUGUAUAUAUACUUGUUAUAUUCUGGAACAAGUUUCUGGCAACAUGCUACGCAUGAGUGGAAGGAGGCAGAGAAGACUUCUUGGAGGACUGAGAGCUGGGACAGGCACUGUGGCUGCUGCAAGCCCUCUGAGUGGUCCUGUUUUCUGCAAACAAGACAAAGCAAGGAAAUGGGCCAUCAUCUCUGCCUUUCAGUGCAGCAUGUCCUCUGUCCUCUUGACAGCCCUGGGCAACCUGGUCUACUGCCACACAUCUGGAGGUUGGUGGCCCGGCCUGUGGCAGGGAGAUUGAAACUUGGUGAUUCUUGGGGUCCUUCCAACCCAAGCCAUUCUAUGAUUCUGUAUUAAAAUAAAAUGUAAAACUACUUGACAGAGUAUUUGAACAAAGUAUUUAACUUGUUAAAUACUUGUUAAAAAAACACCAUGUAGACAACGUUAUUGUGAAAUGCUCUAUUAUCCAUAAACAUGUACUUU
rnacentral:lncRNA from 1 species